rfam:Camelus ferus unplaced genomic scaffold scaffold1741, whole genome shotgun sequence.
GAAGGUAUAACUCAAGUGGUAGAGUGUGUGCUUAGCAUGCACAAAGUCCUGGGUUCAAUCCCCAGUACCUCCA